rnacentral:rRNA from 1 species
CCUACGGGAGGCAGCAGUUAGGAAUAUUGUGCAAUGGGGGAAACCCUGACACAGCCAUGCCGCGUGUGUGAAGAAGGCCCUAGGGCUGUAAAGCACUUUCAGUAGGGAGGAAUUAGCAAGGCUAAUACUCUUGUGAAAUGACGUUACCUACAGAAGAAGAUCCGGCUAACUUCGUGCCAGCAGCCGCGGUAAUACGAAGGGGGCGAGCGUUAUUCGGAAUUAUUGGGCGUAAAGGGCUCGCAGGCUGCUUGAACAGUUAGACGUGAAAUCCCCGGGCUUAACCUGGGAACUGCGUUUAAUACUAGCAAGCUAGAGAAAUAGAGAGGAAAGUGGAACUCCCAGUGUAGAGGUGAAAUUCGUAGAUAUUGGGAAGAACACCAGUGGCGAAAGCGACUUUCUGGCUAUUUUCUGACGCUGAGGAGCGAAAGCGUGGGGAGCAAACAGGAUUAGAUACCCUGGUAGUCCACGCCGUAAACGAUGUGUGCUAGAUGUUGGAGGGUUACCUUUCAGUGUCGCAGCUAACGCACUAAGCACACCGCCUGGGAAGUACGGUCGCAAGAUUAAAACUCAAAGGAAUUGACGG